CGGGUGAGUAACGCGUGGAUAUCUGCCUUAGUUCGGAAUAACCCCGGGAAACUGGGGCUAAUACCGGAUGGUUCCUGCGGGAUAAAGAUUUAUCGGCCAAAAGAUGAGUCCGCGUACGAUUAGCUAGUUGGUGAGGUAAUGGCUCACCAGCGACGAUCGUUAGCUGGUCUGAGAGGACGAUCAGCACACUGGGACUGAGACACGGCCAGACUCCUACGGGAGGCAGCAGUGGGGAAUAUUGGACAAUGGGGGCAACCCUGAUCCAGCCAUGCCGCGUGAGUGAUGAAGGCCUUCGGGUUGUAAAGCUCUUUUGGCGGGGACGAUGAUGACGGUACCCGCAGAAUAAGCCCCGGUAACUUCGUGCCAGCAGCCGCGGUAAAGACGAAGGGGCUCAGUUGUUCCGAAUUUACUGGGCGUAAAAGGCGAGUGUAAGGUGGGUCAAACCCAAAGNAUGGGGAUUGGUGNGAACAAGCCCUUGUGGAAGACCUCCAACUUUCACCAAGGAAAAACUCGGCAAUUCUCCACCGCGGACCUCGGGNGAAAGGGAACCUUCAAGCAAAGGGAGAACCCCCGGGCAACAACGGGAAAUCAACCUCGGGG
rnacentral:rRNA from 1 species